rnacentral:ncRNA from 2 species
AGGGUCUGUGUCGCUGGUGGUCCGCGCUCGACAAGCGCGGGGAAAGAGGGAACCCGGUGAGAAUCCGGGACUGCCCCGCAGCGGUGAAUGGGAACGAAACCCGUCAAAAGCACUGGGUACACACCUGGGAAGCGACGGGCAGUAGGCGGCAACAGGCACAGCCCCAGCCACGCCCAUGAGUCCGAAGACCUGCCUCCGGUGCGUACGGCGA